rnacentral:sRNA from 1 species
AAUAUCCAGCCUGUGUGCUGCUUGUGUACUGCUGCAGGAGUGUGAUCGCCAUGCCGACAAACGGGAAUGCAGCUGUCGACGGAGAUGAGUCCCCCGAGGCUUGUCUCGCCCAGGCGUUCAAAGAUAUCGCAGAGUCUGUACUCCCCCGCCGCAUUUAAACACUACACUUCACUUCAGUUAAUGCAUGGUCGUCAUAUCUAUCUGAUAACUAGAAACUCAAACAAAAAUCUAAAACUAAUGCAUACUUAUGGGUAUAACAGCGGUGAAAGAGCAGCCUCAGCCCUUGAGGACCAUCUCGCCAGUCUGGAGGAGAAGAUAGAAAGUCUCCUGGCUGCCGUUGAAUCGUCAGGAAAUCCAGAUGCCACUCGUGGCAUUCCACAAACGUUCUCCAAGCCCGAAAGCCAGACAGAUACUGGAGACAACACAGGCAACAACACAAAACGACACGCGGGGCAAUGAAUGAUGUCGUCCUCGUUCAGAAAAUCCGCUCCAGAUGGAACACUCCGCUUCCGUCCUUCUCAACGACCCCGACCUCCGUGAUAAUCCCAUCGACAAGUGCCGCAGGUGUAACAUCAAACGCCGGGUUCCACACGCCAAUCCCAUCAGCUGCAACCGUGAUAGUUUCCAUCGCCCCAAGUCCAUUUCCUUCCUCUCCAGCCCGCGGCCCCCGAAUCCUGGUGACCUCCUCCUCGGGCCGUUCCUCAAUAACGAUAUCCGCACCGGUCUUCGUAUUCAUAUCGAUGGUCGUCCGCGGCGCCGCGACGAGGAACUUGACUCCGUGGUAUUUCGCCAGCACGGCCAGGCCGUAUGUCCCGAUCUUGUUGGCCGUGUCGCCGUUGGCGGCCACACGGUCUGCUCCGACGAUUAUGGCGCUUACGCCCACACUUUGAGCUGGGCCUGCGCUCUGGCGCGCGAGGAGGGCCGCGGCCAUGUUGUCUGUGAUGAGGGUGGCGGGGAUAUUGUCGUGGACGAGCUCGAAUGCGGUGAGACGGGAGCCCUGGUUGUACGGGCGGGUUUCUGUGCAGUAGGCACGCGCGAGGGACCCAGUGGCGUGUAGGGAGCGAAUGACGCCUAGGGCUGUGCCGUAGCCGGCUGUAGCGAGGGAGCUGUAAGAUAUUUAAUAUACUAUUAGCAAUGCAUUGCAACGCAUUUCACAACUGCUAGAACGAAUACGUCCCUCCAUAUCAACAUAAUUAACAUACCCAGUAUUACAAUGCGUCAACACCGCAACCUUCGCUUGCCCCGUCCCCGACAUAGACCCUUUAGUAGUGAUUGCAU